UACGUAGGGUGCAAGCGUUAAUCGGAAUUACUGGGCGUAAAGCGUGCGCAGGCGGUUUCGUAAGUCUGUCGUGAAAUCCCCGGGCUUAACCUGGGAAUGGCGAUGGAGACUGCGAGGCUAGAGUUUGGCAGAGGGGGGUAGAAUUCCACGCGUAGCAGUGAAAUGCGUAGAGAUGUGGAGGAACACCGAUGGCGAAGGCAGCCCCCUGGGUCAAAACUGACGCUCAUGCACGAAAGCGUGGGGAGCAAACAGG
rnacentral:rRNA from 1 species